rnacentral:rRNA from 1 species
UGGCCCAGAUCGUUUACCGUGAAAAAAUUAGAGUGUUCAAAGCAGGCAGAUCCAAUUUUCUGCCACYGAAUACAUUAGCAUGGGAUAAUGGAAUAGGACCCUGUCCUCCUAUUUUCAGUUGGUUUUGGCAGCGCGAGGACUAGGGUAAUGAUUAAUAGGGAUAGUUGGGGGCAUUAAUAUUUAAUUGUCAGAGGUGAAAUUCUUGGAUUUAURAAAGAUUAACUUUUCUUCCURYCCCUCAGCCAAGGAUGUUUUCAUUAAUCAAGAACGAAAGUUAGGGGAUCGAAGACGAUCAGAUACCGUCGUUGGCCUCCUCUCACGAUGCCGACCAGCGAUUAGGAGACGUYCCCCCCCCUUUUCCCACCAUCGGUUGCGGYCCMUCCUWWRGCGUCUUCGGUUUCGGCCCGGRGRCGCGGGGAUGG